rnacentral:rRNA from 1 species
UGGGGAAUAUUGGACAAUGGGCGAAAGCCUGAUCCAGCCAUGCCGCGUGUGUGAAGAAGGUCUUCGGAUUGUAAAGCACUUUAAGUUGGGAGGAAGGGCAUUAACCUAAUACGUUAGUGUUUUGACGUUACCGACAGAAUAAGCACCGGCUAACUCUGUGCCAGCAGCCGCGGUAAUACAGAGGGUGCAAGCGUUAAUCGGAAUUACUGGGCGUAAAGCGCGCGUAGGUGGUUUGUUAAGUUGGAUGUGAAAUCCCCGGGCUCAACCUGGGAACUGCAUUCAAAACUGACUGACUAGAGUAUGGUAGAGGGUGGUGGAAUUUCCUGUGUAGCGGUGAAAUGCGUAGAUAUAGGAAGGAACACCAGUGGCGAAGGCGACCACCUGGACUAAUACUGCCACUGAGGUGCGAAAGCGUGGGGAGCAAACA